ensembl:lncRNA
GCACACUUCUCGGUUAGUGCUCGAACUGAUAUUGAUUUUUGACCGUACAACGAGAAUACGUGAAUAUCCCGGAAAAUGAUUUCAAUGAUCGAUAUUAAAAUAUUAUACUAUAUUGGUAUAUAUAUGCAAACUGAUGUAAUUUCCGCAACAGCGUGAUUACGUAUGGCGAAGGGUGAAUGUAACGGAGUUGGAUGUGUUUCACUGAAUUCCCAGACAGGGGUGUGACAUGGGUUGUUCCGGCGACACCUAUGCUGCUCCUACCUAUGUUUUGCUGUAUUAAACUGGUGCCGAAGAAGUAGGCAGGACGUCGAAAGCAUGUCUAUGAUCGAAAGGGCUUAUUUUCGAUCCAUUAAGUGAAGUAAACUAUUCAGAUUUGGCUCUAACACGAUGGGUUACACGACAUCACUGAAAAUCUGUGUUAUUCUGUCGAUGUGUUGGGAUUUGUAAGUUGAAAGUUUGCAAGACUGGCAUUCCCUGCAGGAACAGCGGACAGAUCCACCAAUGAUGAUUUUUUUUCUAAAGAUGCCAAAUCUUCAGAUACAUUCAAUUUGACCUGUAUGGUCACAGGCCUCUACUCAAAAAACACUAAGAUCAGAAUCCUGUGGAAGGACUGGCCUGUAGGGAAAGGUCAUGAAAGAUUGCCCAAUCAUGAUGGAACCUACGGGAUCAAACUGAGUGCGUACGCACACAAAUCAAAGAUAAAUGAUUAUCGAUGUGAGGUGAAUCACGGGGACCAGAAAUACACACUUGUAGUCGAAUGGCCUAAAGAAUUAGAUCUGGACAAGACAAUACAAGAAUUUGGAGAUUCUCAAAAGUCUGAUGGAUAUCCCCCCUCGAUUGGAAAGUGGUUUGCAUGUGUGCUGCUGGCGCUGGGCCUGGUGCUGGGGCUCGUGGUGCUCUUGGGAUACAUUUGUGUGAUACAUUUUGUGUGAAAAGAUUACUGAGAAGGAAGAUACAGAUUCUGACUCUGGAUUUCGUGAAAAAAGCAGCCAUUCCAUGGAUCGGAAUAGCCUAGAUUUUGAUAAGGAAGGUACAGAUUCUGACUCUGGAUGUAGUGAAGAAGGCAGCCGUUCCAUAGGGAAGAAUCCCCUACAUUUUGGUAUGUAUUGAGUGUUAUGUACACAAAUCUAAAACGUGAGCCAGAAGGAGAAGUAUAGUCCUACAUCAUAAUUUGUCGUAAUACAUCCAUUAGUGGUUAUUAGACUCUUCUUUCCUUUUGUAAGGAAACUGGACAAUAAUAGCACGCUGUCCAACUAUUGGUUUGAAGAGGAUUAAAGCAGCAUAACGGAACAAUUGCUAAUCGCUAACGAGAUGCUAGCGCCUAAAACUAGCGAAACCUCUUGAAAUGUGCUUACUUUGACACUAUGACAAACUGGUUAGUCAACAACUGUCCUAACACAGUCAAACAUGAAGCAAGUGCAACACAAGACAAAGCAAGACGGCAAAUAAGCUACUUAGUUCGGCAGACAGUAGAAACCGGGCGGCUUCAGCCACAUAACCCAGUAAUAUGCCUAAGGACCCUGGUAUGGCAACGGCACGGAAGCGAUUCUCCAUACUAAAAGUCAUUGUAGCGCCCCAAUUUUUUUAAGCUGUUAUUUUAAGGUAAAACUGCUUAUCCUAACCCUAACCCUGAAGUACAAUUACUGCAUAAUGCCACAUUAAAGCUGUAUGAAUAUCUGCAGAUGUUAUUUUUUUUCAUCUGUAAAUUAUGGUGUUUUAAGGCUGGGCACACACAAGGCUGGGCACACACAAGGCAGGGCGUGAGGAGUCUGAAACGAGAGGAGAGAUGAGUAAACAACAGAACUGAAGAAUAAAUGAUAAAAUUAGGAAAACUUAUCUAGUAAGCAGGUGCCCAGUGACAAACCUAUCAACCAAAUCAGUGGAAUGGAUGAAAUGUACUUUCUUCCCAAGGAAGACCAAGAAUGCCCCUACAGGCUAUUGUUCUGAAUGCUCUUAAUAGCAAAUCUUACAAAUAGGUCAGAUUAUUAAAUAGCAUCUGUUACAAACUAGAUAUGACAAUAAUCUUGAUUUGGUGUCUUGAACCAAAGCUGGGGAGUUGGUUACAUGUAACGACAUUACAAAAUCAAUGUAAUUAUAAUGCGUUCCAGUUAUAGAGAGAAAAAAAUAUGUAAUUGAAUUACAGUUACUAAUCAAGAUGUUGGUGAUUACAAAGGGGUCACAUCAAAACACAUUCCUUUCGGUAAAAAGUUUUAAAGCCUAUAUGUAGACUAUAAGAUUCAUUCUAGAACAUAUAAUAUUCAAUAUAACCAGAUGCAAAGCAUCUUUUUCACUAUCUAGACAGGCUCCAUUCAUUUGGCAGUAUGUGCUCAAAUUUGAGCGUUGUUUUUUAUUGGUUCUCCUGUUUGAAUUUGCACCACCUCUCAUCUGCAAGUUAUCAAAUGUAAUAAAUUACAUUAAUUUAAUUAAUUAAUUAAUUAAAAUUGUUAUAUUACUUAGUACAUUGUUUACAGGGUAACUAGUAGUCUGCAACAUACCACAUUUACAACCCUGGUCUUGAGUGAAGAACUUUCUUACCUUUAUUUUGGAGGGGUGUUUCUUUUGACUUGUCUUUGAAGUUACGGUUUUUACAAGCUAAUGUAUUUACCUGCAGGUGCAAAUAUGGACUAGCAUGGACUUUAGAUUGACAGGCAAAAAUUACUAUUUUUAAGAUGUUUAGGAUGGGUGUGACAGACUUUCCCUGUUUCACUAUAGAUUCUGAGGAAAGAGGUCACUGUAAUAUAUAUAUAAUAAAUAUAGGUGAGGCAUAUUGAUUUGUAUUUUAAUAUGGUAUUGAUCAAUCGGAAAAUGUCCAAAGAGAUGU